rnacentral:rRNA from 1 species
GAUCAUUACAGUAUUCUUUUGCCAGCGCUUAACUGCGCGGCGAAAAACCUUACACACAGUGUCUUUUUGAUACAGAACUCUUGCUUUGGUUCGGCCUAGAAAUAGGUUGGGCCAGAGGUUUAACAAAACACAAUUUAAUUAUUUUUAUUGAUAGUCAAAUUUUGAAUUAAUCUUCAAAACUUUCAACAACGGAUCUCUUGGUUCUCGCAUCGAUGAAGAACGCAGCGAAAUGCGAUAAGUAAUAUGAAUUGCAGAUUUUCGUGAAUCAUCGAAUCUUUGAACGCACAUUGCGCCCUCUGGUAUUCCAGAGGGCAUGCCUGUUUGAGCGUCAUUUCUCUCUCAAACCCCCGGGUUUGGUAUUGAGUGAUACUCUUAGUCGAACUAGGCGUUUGCUUGAAAAGUAUUGGCAUGGGUAGUACUGGAUAGUGCUGUCGACCUCUCAAUGUAUUAGGUUUAUCCAACUCGUUGAAUGGUGUGGCGGGAUAUUUCUGGUAUUGUUGGCCCGGCCUUACAACAACCAAACAAGUUUGACCUCAAAUCAGGUAGGAAUACCCGCUGAACUUAAGCAUAUCAAUAAGCGGAGGAAAAGAAACCAACAGGGAUUGCCUUAGUAGCGGCGAGUGAAGCGGCAAAAGCUCAAAUUUGAAAUCUGGCGCCUUCGGUGUCCGAGUUGUAAUUUGAAGAUUGUAACCUUGGGGUUGGCUCUUGUCUAUGUUUCUUGGAACAGGACGUCACAGAGGGUGAGAAUCCCGUGCGAUGAGAUGCCCAAUCCUAUGUAAGGUGCUUUCGAAGAGUCGAGUUGUUUGGGAAUGCAGCUCUAAGUGGGUGGUAAAUUCCAUCUAAAGCUAAAUAUUGGCGAGAGACCGAUAGCGAACAAGUACAGUGAUGGAAAGAUGAAAAGAACUUUGAAAAGAGAGUGAAAAAGUACGUGAAAUUGUUGAAAGGGAAGGGUUUGAGAUCAGACUCGAUAUUUUGUGAGCCUUGCCUUCGUGGCGGGGUGACCCGCAGCUUAUCGGGCCAGCAUCGGUUUGGGCGGUAGGAUAAUGGCGUAGGAAUGUGACUUUACUUCGGUGAAGUGUUAUAGCCUGCGUUGAUGCUGCCUGCCUAGACCGAGGACUGCGAU